GACGAACGCUGGCGGCGUGCCUAAUACAUGCAAGUAGAACGCACAGUUUAUACCGUAGCUUGCUACACCAUAGACUGUGAGUUGCGAACGGGUGAGUAACGCGUAGGUAACCUGCCUGGUAGCGGGGGAUAACUAUUGGAAACGAUAGCUAAUACCGCAUAAUAUUAAUUAUUGCAUGAUAAUUAAUUGAAAGGUGCAAUUGCACCACUACCAGAUGGACCUGCGUUGUAUUAGCUAGUAGGUGAGGUAACGGCUCACCUAGGCGACGAUACAUAGCCGACCUGAGAGGGUGAUCGGCCACACUGGGACUGAGACACGGCCCAGACUCCUACGGGAGGCAGCAGUAGGGAAUCUUCGGCAAUGGACGAAAGUCUGACCGAGCAACGCCGCGUGAGUGAAGAAGGUUUUCGGAUCGGAAAGCUCGGUUGUAAGAGAAGAACAGGUGUGAGAGUGGAAAGUUCACACUGUGACGGUAUCUUACCAGAAAGGGACGGCUAACUACGUG
rnacentral:rRNA from 1 species